rnacentral:rRNA from 1 species
ACCCAGCAUGAGUUAUGUCAUGUUAUCGAUAUGUGAAUACAUAGCAUAUCAGAAGGCACACCCGGAGAACUGAAACAUCUUAGUACCCGGAGGAAGAGAAAGAAAAUUCGAUUCCCUUAGUAGCGGCGAGCGAAACGGGAAGAGCCCAAACCAACAAGCUUGCUUGUUGGGGUUGUAGGACACUCUAUACGGAGUUACAAAGGACGACAUUAGACGAAUCAUCUGGAAAGAUGAAUCAAAGAAGGUAAUAAUCCUGUAGUCGAAAAUGUUGUCUCUCUUGAGUGGAUCCUGAGUACGACGGAGCACGUGAAAUUCCGUCGGAAUCUGGGAGGACCAUCUCCUAAGGCUAAAUACUCUCUAGUGACCGAUAGUGAACCAGUACCGUGAGGGAAAGGUGAAAAGCACCCCGGAAGGGGAGUGAAAUAGAACCUGAAACCGUGUGCUUACAAGUAGUCAGAGCCCGUUAAUGGGUGAUGGCGUGCCUUUUGUAGAAUGAACCGGCGAGUUACGAUUUGAUGCAAGGUUAAGCAGUAAAUGUGGAGCCGUAGCGAAAGCGAGUCUGAAUAGGGCGUUUAGUA